UAAACUGCAAGCCGGCCAGGGCAUGAACAAUGGUUAUUGUGACAUAACGUUGACUGUCCUGUUCCAAAAGCCAUGGAGAACAGAGGGACACAGUUAGAUGCCUGCCGGGGAAAGAUCAAAAACAGUACCACUUGGGAAUCUGAGCCCACCUCAUGAUACUUCAUCCUUUGUUAGCCUGUCCUGCUGCCGAAGACUCUGGUUGGCCAACAUCCUUCCCAAGAGAGAUCUAUGAAUCCCUUUGUUUAAGGAGCUAGAGGCAAAUCCCUUUGUUUAAGGAGCUAGAGUGCAGAAGAGAAUGUAGCCCUUUGCACCCCAUGCCGUUUUCUGAUGUGCCCUUUCCUGCACCAGGACUGCUUUCUUAUGAAACUGAAUGUAGAGAAGGAUGACCCAAGAUGGUUCACGGAUGGCUUGAAACUGUUGCAUCUAACAGGCACGUUAUCUCAGUCUGGGCAAGGUGGUUUUCUAUGCAGUUUACUCCAGUUGUGAGUACUUGAAUUUUUGUGUCAGACACUGCACUGUAAUGUGUGGUGUGUGUUUCCACAAGGAAGUAUAUGGGGGUGAGUGUCAAUGUAUACCUGUGUGUUUGUAUGUCUACAACCAGAAGACAAAAGCUUUUGUCUACCCCUUGUCAAUCAAUUAGGAUUCUUCCAAGAAACCAGAAAAAGACAUGGACUGGAGAUUGGAGAAUUUUUUGACUCCUGAAUAACAGCUCUAAGAUAAACCUUAGCCUCCAUUCUCCCAGCAGAGUCUUUUAGCACAUGAGUUCCCCAGUAUUCACCCUGAAUGCACUUUUGCCUGCCCAGACUCUCUUCUCCUUUGCCCCAGCCUCCAAGAGACAUCAAUGGUUAUAUGUGCCACAUGUCAGACAAAGUUCAAAUAACAAGGAGGAAAUGACUAAAUUAGGAAAGCAGAAGUUUGGAGGAAGAGAGGGAGAAGAACAUAGAAACAUAGAAAGAAAGCGAGCCAGAAGGGGCCUCCUGGGCCAUCUAGUCUGACCCCCGGCUCCAGCCGGCUCCGCUCACGACAAGCCCACCAGAAGGGUGUUGGGACACUGCUCUUCUCUCCAUGGCCAUGAUACCACAGGUUCUCCUCAUGAACUUGUUAGAGGACAGAAGCAUGUUAUUGAUGGUAUUCUGUAUGAAGCCAUCUUGCAUUUGAACAUGGCUUUGUGAUUUCCAAAACAUCUGACAAACUGAGAAUGUAGAAUAUUUAAUAAAGUUAUCUUCCAUGAUUAAAAAA